UCCAGGCCCUACGGGGCGCAGCAGGCGCGAAACCUCCGCAAUGUGAGAAAUCGCGACGGGGGGAUCCCAAGUGCCAUUCUUAACGGGAUGGCUUUUCAUUAGUGCAAAGGGCUUUUGGAAUAAGAGCUGGGCAAGACCGGUGCCAGCCGCCGCGGUAACACCGGCAGCUCUAGUGGUAGCAGUUAUUAUUGGGCCUAAAGCGUCCGUAGCCGGUUUAAUAAGUCUCUGGUGAAAUCCUGUAGCUUAACUAUGGGAAUUGCUGGAGAUACUAUUAGACUUGAGAUCGGGAGAGGUUAGAGGUACUCCCAGGGUAGAGGUGAAAUUCUGUAAUCCUGGGAGGACCGCCUGUUGCGAAGGCGUCUAACUGGAACGAUUCUGACGGUGAGGGACGAAAGUUAGGGGCGCGAACCGGAUUAGAUACCCGGGUAGUCCUAACUGUAAACGAUGCGGACUUGGUGUUGGGAUGGCUUUGAGCUGUCUCAGUGCCGAAGGGAAGCUGUUAAGUCCGCCGCCUGGGAAGUACGGUCGCAAGACUGAAACUUAAAGGAAUUGGCGGGGGAGCGCCACAACGCGUGGAGCCUGCGGUUUAAUUGGAUUCAACGCCGGA
rnacentral:rRNA from 1 species